GGAACAAGAAUGAAAAGGUGGAACUUUCAUGGCCACAUCCAGGCAAUAUGGGAAUUGAAAUAGCACUGUUUGCAUUACUCCACAUUGACAGAUCUCCCGUCCAGCCAAUUGAGCUAGCUGAUCCCAAGAAACAUGAUCUGCAUCAAGCUGGUUGUGCCUCAUUUUGCUGUUUUAACCUGAGAAUGGGAAAUGCGGACAAAACCUGCCAAACAGAAGAGGUCCAGUUUUAAAGCUUUUGAAGCUUUCUUUGUGAUCUUCUCAACCAGAUGCCACUCUCAGGACUGCUACUGAUCGCCACAAAGAAAGAGAGCAAAAUGAAAGCAAAAUACAGACACAUUGUGCUUUAGACAUAAGAACAUUUGGACAUAAGAACUAGGAGCAGGAGUAGGCCAUCUGGCCCUUUGAACCUGCUCC